rnacentral:rRNA from 1 species
CCUCGGCAUACUGCCCAGUAACACGUGGACAACCUACCCUAAGGAGGGGGAUAACCCCGGGAAACUGGGGAUAUACCCCAUAGACUAUGGAUGCUGGAAUGCUCUGUAGUUGAAAGGUCCGCCGCCUUAGGAUGGGUCUGCGGCCGAUUAGGUUGUUGUUGGGGUAACGGCCCAACAAGCCUGUAAUCGGUACGGGUUGUGGGAGCAAGAGCCCGGAGAUGGAUUCUGAGACACGAAUCCAGGCCCUACGGGGCGCAGCAGGCGCGAAAACUUUACAAUGCGAGAAAUCGUGAUAAGGGAACUCCGAGUGCCCGUAAAAUCGGGCUGUCCAUCGGUUUAAAUAACCGGUGAAGAAAGGGCCGGGCAAGACCGGUGCCAGCCGCCGCGGUAAUACCGGCGGCUCGAGUGGUGGCCACUAUUACUGGGCUUAAAGCGUUCGUAGCUGGUUUGUUAAGUCUCUGGGGAAAUCUUCCGGCUUAACCGGAAGGCGUCUCAGGGAUACUGGCAGACUAGGGACCGGGAGAGGUGAGGGGUACUCCAGGGGUAGGAGUGAAAUCCUGUAAUCCUUGGGGGACCACCUGUGGCGAAGGCGCCUCACCAGAACGGCUCCGACAGUGAGGAACGAAAGCUGGGGGAGCAAACCGGAUUAGAUACCCGGGUAGUCCCAGCUGUAAACGAUGCGCGUUAGGUGUAUCGAUGACCACGAGUCAUCGAGGUGCCGAAGAGAAAUCGUGAAACGUGCCGCCUGGGAAGUACGGUCGCAAGGCUGAAACUUAAAGGAAUUGGCGGGGGAGCACCACAACGGGUGGAGCCUGCGGUUUAAUCGGACUCAACGCCGGGAAACUCACCGGACAAGACAGCUGGAUGAUAGUCGGGCUGAAGACUCUACUUGACUAGCUGAGAGGAGGUGCAUGGCCGUCGUCAGUUCGUACUGUGAAGCAUCCUGUUAAGUCAGGCAACGAGCGAGACCACGCCAACAGUUGCCAGCUCGUCCUCCGGGAUGGUGGGGACAC